GGGGCAAUGCAAAUGGUCUGGGUAGCCGUUUGAUUUGCUGUUCAGGAGUCUUAUGGCUUGGGGGUAGAAGCUGUUUAGAAGCAUCUUGGACCUAGACUUGGCGCUCAGGUACCGCUUGCUGUGCGGUAGCAGAGAGAACAGUCUAUGACUAGGGUGGCUGGAGUCUUUGACAAUUUUAGGGCCUUCCUCUGACAUCGCCUGGUAUAGAGGUCCUAGAUGGCAGGAAGCUUGGCCCCGGUGAUGUACUGGGCCGUACGCACUACCCUCUGUAGUGCCUUGCGACCGGAGGCUGAGUAGUUGCCAUACCAGGCACUGAUGCAACCCGUCCAGAGGCUUUCGAUGGUGCAGCUGUAAAACAUUUUUGGGGAUCUGAGGACCCAUGCCAAAUCUUUUCACUCUCUUGAGGGGGAAUAGGUUUUGUCGUGCCCUCUUCACAACUGUCUUGGUGAGCUUGGACCAUGUUUGUUUGUUGGUGAUGUGAACACCAAGGAAGUUGAAGCUCUCAACCUGCUCCACUGCAGCCCCAUCGAUGAGAAUGGGGGCGUGCUCGGUCCUCCUUUUCCUGUAGUCCACAAUCAUCUCCUUUGUCUUGAUCACGUUUAGGGAGAGGUUGUUGUCCUUGAACCACAAGUUCAGGUCCUCCCUAUAGGCUGUCUCAUCGUUGUCGGUGAUCAGGCCUACUACUGUUGUGUCAUCAGCAAACUUAAUGAUGGUGUUGGAGUCGUGCCGCCGUGCAGUCAUGAGUGAACAGGGAGUACAGGAGGGGACUGAGAACGAAACCCUGAGGGGUUCCUAUGUUGAGGAUCAGCGUGGCAGAUGUGUUGCUACCUACCCUUACCACCUGGGGGUUGCCUGUCAGGAAGUCCAGGAUCCAGUUUCAGAGGGAGGUGUUUAGUCCCAGGGUCCUUAGCUUAGUGAUGAGCUUUGAGAGCACUAUGGUGUUGAACGCUGAGCUGUAGUUAAUGAACAGCAUUCUCACAUAGGUGUUCCUUUUGUCCAGGUGGGAAAGGGCAGUGUGGGAGUGCAAUAUAAAUUCCAUUAUCUGUGGAUCUGUUGGUGCGGAGUGCAAAUUGGAGGGGGUCAAGGGAUUCUGGGACAAUGGUGUUGAUGUGAGCAAUGACCAGCCGUUCAAAGCACUUCAUGGCUACAGACGUGAGUGCAGAUUAUCUUAGUGUUCUUGGGCACAGGGACUAUGAUGGUCUGCUUGAAUCAUGUUGGUAUUACAGACUCAGACAGGGAGAGGUUGAAAAUGUUAAUGAAGACACUUGCAGUUGGUCAGUGCAUGCUCAGAGUACACUUCCCGGUAAUCCGUCUGGCCCAACGGCCUUGUGAAUGUUGACCUGUUUAAAGGUCUUACUCACAUCGGAGAGCGUGAUCACACAGUCGUUUUACUUGCCUCGAAACGAGCAUAGAAGUUAUUUAGCUCGUCUGGUAAGCUCGUGUCACUGGGCAGCUCUCGGCUGUGCUUCCCUUUGUAGUCUGUAAUAGUUUGCAAGCCCUGCCACAUCUGACGAGCGUCGGAGCCGGUGUUGUACGAUUCGAACUUAGUCCUGUAUUGACGUUUUGCGUGUUUGAUGGUUCGUUGGAUGGCAUAGUGGAAUUUCUUAUAAACUUCCAGGUUAGAGUCCUGCUCCUUUAAAGCAGCAGCUCUAUACUUUAGCUCAGUGCGAAUGUUGCCUGUAAUCCAUGGCUUCUGGUUGAGGUAUGUACGUACAGUCACUGUGGGGAAGACGUCCUCGAUGCACUUAUUGAUGUGUGGUGGAUCUGAUGUGGUGUACUCCUCAAUGCCAUCGGAAGAAUCCCAGAACAUAUUCCAGUCUGUACUAGCAAAACAAUCCUGUAGUUUAGCAUCUGCUUCAUCUGACCACUUUUUUAUAGACCGAGUCACUGGUGCUUCCUGCUUAAAUGUUUUGCUUGUAAGCAGGAAUCAGGAGGAUAGAGUUAUGGUCAUAUAUACCAAAUGGAGGGUGAGGGAGAGCUUUGUACGCGUCUCUGUGUGUGGAAUUAAGGUGGUCUAGAAAAAAAAAUUCCCCUCUGGUUGCACAUUUAACAUGCUGAUAGAAAUGAGGUAAAACUGAUUUAAGUUUCCCUGCAUUAAAGUCCCCGGCCACUAGGAGCUUCGCCUCUGGAUGAGCGUUUUCCUGUUUGCUUAUAGCGGAAUACAGCUCGUUGAGUGAGUGCUCUUUUAGUGCCAGCCUCGGUCUGUGGUGGUAGGUAGACAGCUAUGAAAAAUACAGAUGAAAACUCUCUAGGUAGAUAGUGUGGUCUACAACUUAUCAUGAGAUACUCUACCUCAGGCGAGAAAAACCCUGAGACUUCCUUAGAUAUCGUGCACCAGCUAUUAUGAAAUAUGAAUUUCAUAUAUGAAUAGGCCCCUGACCCGUGUCUUACCAGAGACUGCUGUUUUGUCCUCCAAUAGUAAUUUACAACAUUAACAAUGUCUACACUGUAUUUCUGAUCAAUUCGAUGUUAUUUAAUGGACAAAAAAUGUGCUUUUCUUUCAAAAACAAAGACAUUUCUAAGCAACUUUUGAACUGAAGUGUACUUUUCCUUUUUCCACGAAUCACGAGGAUCUAGGCCUGGUCGGGUGUAUGUAGUAUAUCCCUCGUGUCCAACUAAUUGAAGAAGAACUCCUCGUCUAAUUUGAGCUUCGAUGCCUCUUCUUGACCACACUGCACCCCAGCUGGGACGUUUGGGGUGAAACGUACCUCCUCAACGGGGGGAUAAGGAAGUGUCCAACACUCCUGCUGCCCUGGCCCAAACAGACACUAGGACAACUGGACACCCCUCUCCAAGAUCCUGAUGUUCUGUCCCAUCCGUCCUCACAUACUACUAUGUUUUCAUUUCUACAUAUCUAGAGUUCGGGACAAUUUGGGGGGAAACUUGGGAAUGCUAUUAGGACAGAUGGAUGGCAUUCCCAAAGACUGCCACAGCUAAAUAGAUGAGAGCUAGACUGGAUACCGAAUAUGAGCUCCCUGCCAACCACCAUGACUUGACCUACCCCCCAGAGAGGGAAAGAUGCAGGGGAAGAAGUGAAAAGAAGGAGAGAAGAAGAGGAACUCUCCUCUCUGUUUACAGAUUCAUCUCAUCAGUCUGGGGUCCACUAUCUCUCUCUCUCUCUCUUUAUCUAUUUUUAUCUCUCGCUUUCUCUCGCUCUCUCCUCUUCCUCCCUCUGCCUCUACCCUUUCUCUCUUAAUCUCUCUCAAUCUCUCUCUCUUAUUAUCUCUCUCUUAUUAUCUCUUUCUCUCUCUCUCUCCUAUUCAUCUUUCUCCCUCUGCCUCUGCCUCUCCUCUCUAUAUCUCUCUCUCUCUCUCUCUCUCUCUCUCCUGUUCCUCUUUCUCCCUCAGCCUCUCCCCUCUCUCUUAAUCUCUAUAUCUUCCCCUUCACUUCCACUUUCUUCUUCUCUUUCCUCUCUCCCCUGCUAUCUCGCUCUCUCCCACCACCCCCUUUCUCCUUCCUUCCAUCCCUCCCUCUCCCCCCCUCCUUCCCACCGUACCUCCAGCAGCCUCCACAGAUAUUCAUCAUCUUCUUCUGUGUACUGAGACAGUAGUAAUCUAAUGUUCCUCCCCUCGUCUGCAGCCACAAAUCUAGAUGAUAAGAUUAUCCUAUCCUCUCCCAGUCAUCAUCUCAAACUUUUGUUGACCAAUUUCAUUAAACAGAGUGAAAAAGCUGAAGUUUGUGUUAAAGGGAAAGUUCAGCGAAAUUGCACAUUUAGAUAUUUGUUUCCUCACCUUGAAAACAGUUUCUCAAAUAUCUAAUUUUGCUGAACUAUCCCUUUUUUAGAAGUUCCUAGGCAAUUACCCUCCACCACCAACAUGCUGUGUCUUAUUACAAAACUACAAAAUGGCCGCCAAUGUUAGCUUGUUGGGUAACGUUGUAGUUCUAACCAGAUACAGUGUUACGGUGUUAGCCUAGUUUUCUUUUUUGUAAAAUCUUGCUCCCUUCCGAGCACCUAUAUUUCCAGCUAGGGAGGUGAGUAUACAUUCUCCAUGUUGUUUUAUACAAGAAAGGUAAAGUCAAAGUACAUAGUAGUUUAUUGGGAUUAGUUUUCUAUAUAUAUAUAUUAUAUAUAAUGAUUAUUAUUUUUGACUGGUAUUAGAACAAUUAUAUGAAGAUAUCUAUGUAUACAAAAUAAUAAAGAUUCUUCUUUAUGUAAACUUUGUUUUUUGGAAAACUUAUUUUUGCAUGAUACUAC
ensembl:lncRNA